GCCAAGUCUGCAGUGGGGCAAAUGGGAUUCUGAUGAUUUGAAGCACAGAAAGAAAUAGUUGAAAUGAUCAACCAGUUAACCGUAAAACAGGUCCUUCAGAAGAAUUCCAGAAGUCACUGUUACCACAGGAGACGACGGUUCCGUAUGUGUUUGUCCCUGAAGACAUUCCAGUGGACAAGAUUUGGAGUGAUAUGAACGAGCCUGACUCUAUGAGGCCUAGGACUCUAGAUCUUUAAAAAUGAGGAAGACUAAAAUGGACAGACAUGGAAGCACUCCAGGGCAAAAGAGAGCAUAAAGUAGACUCAGAGGAAGGGAUAAUAGCAAGUUGUUCUGUGACAAAGAGAAGAUGUGAUCAGCUGGACAAAUGAAGACAGAGACCACUAGGCUGAUACACUAAGUUUGAUAUAAAAUGUAAUUACUAUUAAAACUUUUGAGGCAUGAUCAAA